rnacentral:lncRNA from 1 species
AAACACUUGUUUUCCUCCUGGGGCCGCAUCUGGGACACACACAGGAACGUGAUUGGACACAGCUUUGGGCUCUGUUGUUUCGAGUGCGCUAUUUUGUCCAUCCAAACAGAAGGUUAUGAAUGGAGAGCUACAUCCCAUGGGGUGGCAGAUGAAGAUGUGCAAGAAGAAGACACUAACAACUGAAUUGCAGAUUGAGGAGAUGAGAUUAUGGUGACAGAAUCCAUCUUCGGUGUAUGUGCAUGAAGAAAUAAGCCAAAUCUACAUCUAUAAAACCGCGGGAAGGAAUGAGAUAAUAAUCAGUUGCAGGUCUGCUUAGAUUUUAAUCGUUUAGUGUAGUUCGUGGCAGGGUCUGAUACCCUAUUUCAAUAGUGGAGA